rnacentral:rRNA from 1 species
UACGAAGGGUGCAAGCGUUAAUCGGAAUUACUGGGCGUAAAGGGUGCGUAGGCGGUUCGUUAAGUCUGUCGUGAAAUCCCCGGGCUCAACCUGGGAAUGGCGAUGGAUACUGGCGAGCUAGAGUGUGUCAGGGGAUGGUGGAAUUCCCGGUGUAGCGGUGAAAUGCGUAGAGAUCGGGAGGAACAUCAGUGGCGAAGGCGGCCAUCUGGGACAACACUGAUGCUGAAGCACGAAAGCGUGGGGAGCAAACAGG